rnacentral:RNase_P_RNA from 1 species
UCAGGGGGCCGGGCAGCCGCGUUAGAGCUUGCUCUACCGAGGAAAGUCCGGGCUCCACGAAACGAGGGUGGCGGGUAACGCCCGCCCGGCGAGUGCCCGCGGGUACGAAGCCGAGGGACAGUGCCACAGAGAGUAUACCGCCGAUGGAGGGAGACCUCACAGGCAAGGGUGAAAGGGUGCGGCAAGAGCGCACCGGGUGACCGGCAACGGAAACCGCAUGGCAAACCCCACCCGGAGCAAGGCCAAAUAGGGGCCUCGCGCCAGUUCGCUGGCAGGGGCGUUUCGUCCCGAGAGGCCCGGGUUGGCUGCUUGAGCGCAGGGAGCAAUCCCUCGCCUAGAUGAAUGGCUGCCCCUGCGGCGCUGAUGUGCGAGCAUAUCGGCCGCAGGACAGAACCCGGCUUACAGGCCCCCUGACACC